rnacentral:tmRNA from 1 species
GGGGUUGUACCGGUUUCGACGGGGAUACGGAAGUCUCGGUAGCCAUCACCGGUGAUUAUUCACCAACUUAAAUUUAAUUGCUGAUAAUAAUUUAGCAUACGCUGCCUAACAACGGCAGCUGUCCCUACGAACCGUCCCGCCGGACCGUAACGGACAUCAUUUAAGCGGGAAACCGCCGUACCUAAGCUUUGCCGUACGGACGGAUAAUUCAUGAAGCUACUGCUGCAGGGGUCUGUUGACGGGCCGAUGCAAAGCGGGAAAUCAAUCCGUCGACUAUGAUGGUAGAAGCCGUUAUGAAAGGAUCUUCGGACAGGGGUUCGAUUCCCCUCAACUCCACUU